rnacentral:rRNA from 1 species
GGCGGCGUGCCUAAUACAUGCAAGUCGAACGAGUUCUGAUUAUUGAAAGGUGCUUGCAUCUUGAUUUAAUUUUGAACGAGUGGCGGACGGGUGAGUAACACGUGGGUAACCUGCCCUUAAGUGGGGGAUAACAUUUGGAAACAGAAGCUAAUACCGCAUAAAUCCAAGAACCGCAUGGUUCUUGGCUGAAAGAUGGCGUAAGCUAUCGCUUUUGGAUGGACCCGCGGCGUAUUAGCUAGUUGGUGAGGUAACGGCUCACCAAGGCAAUGAUACGUAGCCGAACUGAGAGGUUGAUCGGCCACAUUGGGACUGAGACACGGCCCAAACUCCUACGGGAGGCAGCAGUAGGGAAUCUUCCACAAUGGACGCAAGUCUGAUGGAGCAACGCCGCGUGAGUGAAGAAGGCUUUCGGGUCGUAAAACUCUGUUGUUGGAGAAGAAUGGUCGGCAGAGUAACUGUUGUCGGCGUGACGGUAUCCAACCAGAAAGCCACGGCUAACUACGUGCCAGCAGCCGCGGUAAUACGUAGGUGGCAAGCGUUAUCCGGAUUUAUUGGGCGUAAAGCGAGCGCAGGCGGUUUUUUAAGUCUGAUGUGAAAGCCCUCGGCUUAACCGAGGAAGUGCAUCGGAAACUGGGAAACUUGAGUGCAGAAGAGGACAGUGGAACUCCAUGUGUAGCGGUGAAAUGCGUAGAUAUAUGGAAGAACACCAGUGGCGAAGGCGGCUGUCUGGUCUGUAACUGACGCUGAGGCUCGAAAGCAUGGGUAGCGAACAGGAUUAGAUACCCUGGUAGUCCAUGCCGUAAACGAUGAAUGCUAGGUGUUGGAGGGUUUCCGCCCUUCAGUGCCGCAGCUAACGCAUUAAGCAUUCCGCCUGGGGAGUACGACCGCAAGGUUGAAACUCAAAGGAAUUGACGGGGGCCCGCACAAGCGGUGGAGCAUGUGGUUUAAUUCGAAGCAACGCGAAGAACCUUACCAGGUCUCGACAUCUUUUGAUCACCUGAGAGAUCAGGUUUCCCCUUCGGGGGCAAAAUGACAGGUGGUGCAUGGUUGUCGUCAGCUCGUGUCGUGAGAUGUUGGGUUAAGUCCCGCAACGAGCGCAACCCUUAUGACUAGUUGCCAGCAUUUAGUUGGGCACUCUAGUAAGACUGCUGGUGACAAACCGGAGGAAGGCGGGGAUGACGUCAAAUCAUCAUGCCCCUUAUGACCAGGGCUACACACGUGCUACAAUGGAUGGUACAACGAGUUGCGAGACCGCGAGGUCAAGCUAAUCUCUUAAAGCCAUUCUCAGUUCGGACUGUAGGCUGCAACUCGCCUACACGAAGUCGGAAUCGCUAGUAAUCGCGGAUCAGCACGCCGCGGUGAAUACGUUCCCGGGCCUUGUACACACCGCCCGUCACACCAUGAGAGUUUGUAACACCCGAAGCCGGUGGCGUAACCCUUUUAGGGAGCGAGCCGUCUAAGGUGGGACAAAUGAUUAGGGUGAAGUCAU